rnacentral:rRNA from 1 species
AGCAGCCGCGGUAAUUCCAGCUCCAAUAGCGUAUAUUAAAGUUGUUGCAGUUAAAAAGCUCGUAGUUGAAUUUCGGGGUUAGUAGAUUGGUCAUGCCUCUGGUAUGUACUGGUCUUACUGAUUCCUCCUUCCUGAUGAACCGUAAUGCCAUUAAUUUGGUGUUGCGGGGAGACUGGACUGUUACUUUGAAAAAAUUAGAGUGUUUAAAGCAGGCUCGCGCUUGAAUACAUUAGCAUGGAAUAAUGAAAUAGGACGUUCGAUCCUAUUUUGUUGGUUUCUAGGAUUGACGUAAUGAUUAAUAGGGAUAGUUGGGGGCAUUAGUAUUCAAUUGUCAGAGGUGAAAUUCUUGGAUUUAUUGAAGACUAACUACUGCGAAAGCAUUUGCCAAGGAUGUUUUCAUUAAUCAAGAACGAAAGUUAGGGGAUCGAAGACGAUCAGAUACCGUCGUAG